rnacentral:rRNA from 1 species
AUCAACUUUCGAUGGUAGGAUAGAGNCUACCAUGGUUUUAACGGGUAACGGGGAAUUAGGGUUCGAUUCCCGGAGAGGGAGCUGAGAAACGGCUACCACAUCCAAGGAAGGCAGCAGGCGCGCAAAUUACCCAAUCCCAAUACGGGGAGGUAGUGACAAUAAAUAACAAUAUGGGGCUCUUAUGGGUCUCGUAAUUGGAAUGAGUACAAUUUAAAUCUCUUAACGAGGAACAAUUGGAGGGCAAGUCUGGUGCCAGCAGCCGCGGUAAUUCCAGCUCCAAUAGCGUAUAUUAAAGUUGUUGCAGUUAAAAAGCUCGUAGUUGAAUUUCGGAAUUUGUCGGUUGGUCGGGCUUCACUGUCCGCACUGGCCUGAUGGAUUCCUACCUUCUGAAUAACCAGCAUGCUAUUAAGUUAGUGCGUUGGGGAAGCAGAGCUAUUACCUUGAAAAAAUUAGAGUGCUUAAAGCAGGCUUACGCUUGAAUAGAUUAGCAUGGAAUAAUAAAAUAGGACGGCAUGGUUCUAUUUUGUUGGUUUCUAGGAUCACCGUAAUGAUUAAUAGGGAUAGUUGGGGGCAUUAGUAUUCAAUUGUCAGAGGUGAAAUUCUUGGAUUUAUUGAAGACUAACUUCUGCGAAAGCAUUUGCCAAGGAUGUUUUCAUUAAUCAAGAACGAAAGUUAGGGGAUCGAAGACGAUCAGAUACCGUCGUAGUCUUAACCAUAAACUAUGCCGACUAGGGAUCGGACGAUGUUAAUUUUUUAAUGACUCGUUCGGCGCCUUACGGGAAACCAAAGUGUUUGGGUUC